UGAACGCUAGCUACAGGCUUAACACAUGCAAGUCGAGGGGCAGCAUGACGGAAGCUUGCUUUCGUUGAUGGCGACCGGCGCACGGGUGAGUAACGCGUAUCCAACCUGCCCUUGUCCAUCGGAUAACCCGUCGAAAGGCGGACUAACACGAUAUGCAGUUCUCAGCAGGCAUCUAACGAGAACGAAAUGUGAAGGAGAAGGAUGGGGAUGCGUCUGAUUAGCUUGUUGGCGGGGUAACGGCCCACCAAGGCGACGAUCAGUAGGGGUUCUGAGAGGAAGGUCCCCCACAUUGGAACUGAGACACGGUCCAAACUCCUACGGGAGGCAGCAGUGAGGAAUAUUGGUCAAUGGGCGAGAGCCUGAACCAGCCAAGUAGCGUGCAGGAUGACGGCCCUAUGGGUUGUAAACUGCUUUUAUACGGGGAUAAAGUGAGCCACGUGUGGCUUAUUGCAGGUACCGUAUGAAUAAGGACCGGCUAAUUCCGUG
rnacentral:rRNA from 1 species